UACGUAGGGUGCAAGCGUUUGUCCGGAAUUAUUGGGCGUAAAGAGCUCGUAGGCGGUUUGUCGCGUCUGCUGUGAAAACCCGAGGCUCAACCUCGGGCCUGCAGUGGGUACGGGCAGACUAGAGUGCGGUAGGGGAGAUUGGAAUUCCUGGUGUAGCGGUGGAAUGCGCAGAUAUCAGGAGGAACACCAAUGGCGAAGGCAGAUCUCUGGGCCGUAACUGACGCUGAGACACGAAAGCGUGGGGAGCAAACAGG
rnacentral:rRNA from 1 species